UAUAAGGGCUUCGUGUGGAUAUCUGUAGAGGCUGGAUGCGUGUGCGGCUGCUGAGCAUCAUGAAGAAUCAAUUAUCAUAUAUUUCAGAUGUGGUGAUUUGCUAUCCACACUUAGGUAUAGAGUUUUGAACUAAAUUUAUAAUUUAGAUAUGAUCUAAUUUGAUAUAGAUGUGAUUUAUGUUUGUUAAAUUUUAGAUUUUAGAUCUGUAUACAUGCUAUUAGUUCAUGUCAUAGAUCCUGUAUGAUAGUUUUAGAUU
rnacentral:lncRNA from 1 species